CAUUGAUGACUGUAUGUUGAAGCACUGAGGAGUUAGUCAUUUGAAGUUUGUAUAUCAGACUCUGAAUGGCACACUUGGACAACACCUGUACAUCCUCA